CAGAGUCAGAAAAUAGUUUUAAAGGGAGAGCUCCUGAUAGGGCCUCCAGUGCACAUAGGAGCUGGAACUGAAGGAAUAAAAAAUGGCUCUGGUCCUUUAUUUAAGGGAGAGUACAUCAAAAGCAGGGAUGAGGUUUCAGAGGGAGGAGUCUUGCUUCUUGGUGUGGCAGAGGACUUGCAGCAAACAGGUUGAUUAGAAUCUUGGCAAGCCACACCCAUCUCUUAGAGGUUGUGUGGCUGUGUAGCUCCAGCAGGUCACCUCA
rnacentral:lncRNA from 1 species